UAAGGAAUAUUGCGCAAUGGGCGAAAGCCUGACGCAGCGACGCCGCGUGGGGGAUGAAGGUCUUCGGAUUGUAAACCCCUUUCGGGAGGGAAGAUGGAAUGGGGUAACCCAUUCGGACGGUACCUCCAGAAGCAGCCACGGCUAACUUCGUGCCAGCAGCCGCGGUAAUACGAAGGUGGCAAGCGUUAUUCGGAUUUACUGGGCGUACAGGGAGCGUAGGCGGUUUGGUAAGCCCUCUGUGAAAUCUUCAGGCUUAACCUGGAAAAGUCGGGGGGGACUGCUGGGCUAGAGGACGGGAGAGGAGCGCGGAAUUCCCGGUGUAGCGGUGAAAUGCGUAGAGAUCGGGAGGAAGGCCGGUGGCGAAGGCGGCGCUCUGGAACGUUUCUGACGCUGAGGCUCGAAAGCGUGGGGAGCAAACAGGAUUAGAUACCCUGGUAGUCCACGCCUUAAACUAUGAAUACUAAGUGUCGGCGGUUUACCGCCGGUGCCGCAGCUAACGCAUUAAGUAUUCCGCCUGGGAAGUACGGCCGCAAGGUUG
rnacentral:rRNA from 1 species